UAUCAAAAGAACAAUUUAUUCAAAAAUACACAGCAUUUCAUACUCUUCAGAAAUAUUACAUUAUUCAAAACUGAUGAACCCAAAAGAUAAUUUAAAAACUCUUCAU